rnacentral:rRNA from 1 species
UACAGAGGUCUCAAGCGUUGUUCGGAUUCAUUGGGCGUAAAGGGUGCGUAGGUGGCGCGGUAAGUCGGGUGUGAAAUUUCGGAGCUUAACUCCGAAACUGCAUUCGAUACUGCCGUGCUUGAGGACUGGAGAGGAGACUGGAAUUCCGGGUGUAGCGGUGGAAUGCGUAGAGAUCCGGAAGAACACCGGUGGCGAAGGCGGUCUGCUGGGCAGUUGCUGACACUGAGGCGCGACAGCGUGGGGAGCAAACAGG